UGGGGAAUAUUGGACAAUGGGCGAAAGCCUGAUCCAGCCAUGCCGCGUGUGUGAAGAAGGUCUUCGGAUUGUAAAGCACUUUAAGUUGGGAGGAAGGGCAGUAAGCUAAUACCUUGCUGUUUUGACGUUACCGACAGAAUAAGCACCGGCUAACUUCGUGCCAGCAGCCGCGGUAAUACGAAGGGUGCAAGCGUUAAUCGGAAUUACUGGGCGUAAAGCGCGCGUAGGUGGUUCGUUAAGUUGGAUGUGAAAGCCCCGGGCUCAACCUGGGAACUGCAUCCAAAACUGGCGAGCUAGAGUAUGGUAGAGGGUGGUGGAAUUUCCUGUGUAGCGGUGAAAUGCGUAGAUAUAGGAAGGAACACCAGUGGCGAAGGCGACCACCUGGACUGAUACUGACACUGAGGUGCGAAAGCGUGGGGAGCAAAACAGGAUUAGAUACCCUGGUAGUCCACGCCGUAAAACGAUGUCAACUAGCCGUUGGGUUCCUUGAGAACUUAGUGGCGCAGCUAACGCAUUAAGUUGACCGCCUGGGGAGUACGGCCGCAAGGUUAAAACUGAAACGAAUUGACGGGGUCAUAGCUGUUUCCUG
rnacentral:rRNA from 1 species